rnacentral:rRNA from 1 species
GCNNCCAUGGCGGCCGCGGGAAUUUCGAUUAGAGUUUGAUCCUGGCUCAGAUUGAACGNGGGCGGCGUGCUUAACACNUGCAAGUCGAACGUGAAAGUCNUUCGGGGCGAGUAAAGUGGCGCACGGGUGAGUAACGCGUGGAUAAUCUACCCUUAAGAUGGGGAUAACGGCUGGAAACGGUCGCUAAUACCGAAUACGCUCCCGAUUUUAUCGUUGGGGGGAAAGAUGGCCUCUGCUUGCAAGCUAUCGCUUAAGGAUGAGUCCGCGUCCCAUUAGCUAGUNGGCGGGGUAACGGCCCACCAAGGCGACGAUGGGUAGCCGGUCUGAGAGGAUGACCGGCCACACUGGAACUGGAACACGGUCCAGACUCCUACGGGAGGCAGCAGUGGGGAAUAUUGCGCAAUGGGCGAAAGCCUGACGCAGCGACGCCGCGUGAGGGAUGAAGGUUCUCGGAUCGUAAACCUCUGUCAGGGGGGAAGAAACCCCCUCGUGUGAAUAAUGCGAGGGCUUGACGGUACCCCCAAAGGAAGCACCGGCUAACUCCGUGCCAGCAGCCGCGGUAAUACGGAGGGUGCAAGCGUUAAUCGGAAUCACUGGGCGUAAAGCGCACGUAGGCGGCUUGGUAAGUCAGGGGUGAAAUCCCACAGCCCAACUGUGGAACUGCCUUUGAUACUGCCAGGCUUGAGUACCGGAGAGGGUGGCGGAAUUCCAGGUGUAGGAGUGAAAUCCGUAGAUAUCUGGAGGAACACCGGUGGCGAAGGCGGCCACCUGGACGGUAACUGACGCUGAGGUGCGAAAGCGUGGGUAGCAAACAGGAUUAGAUACCCUGGUAGUCCACGCUGUAAACGAUGGGUGCUGGGUGCUGGGAUGUAUGUCUCGGUGCCGUAGCUAACGCGAUAAGCAAAUCACUAGUGAAUUCGCGGCCGCCUGCAGGUCGACCAUAUGGGAGAGCUCC